AGAGUUUGAUCCUGGCUCAGGAUGAACGCUGGCGGCGUGCCUAACACAUGCAAGUCGAACGAAGCACCUUACCUGAUUCUUCGGAUGAAAGUUUGGUGACUGAGUGGCGGACGGGUGAGUAACGCGUGGGUAACCUGCCCUGUACUGGGGGAUAACAGCUGGAAACGGCUGCUAAUACCGCAUAAGCGCACGAGGAGACAUCUCCUUGUGUGAAAAACUCCGGUGGUACAGGAUGGGCCCGCGUCUGAUUAGCUGGUUGGCAGGGUAACGGCCUACCAAGGCAACGAUCAGUAGCCGGUCUGAGAGGAUGAACGGCCACAUUGGAACUGAGACACGGUCCAAACUCCUACGGGAGGCAGCAGUGGGGAAUAUUGCACAAUGGGGGAAACCCUGAUGCAGCAACGCCGCGUGAGUGAAGAAGUAUUUCGGUAUGUAAAGCUCUAUCAGCAGGAAAGAAAAUGACGGUACCUGACUAAGAAGCCCCGGCUAACUACGUGCCAGCAGCCGCGGUAAUACGUAGGGGGCAAGCGUUAUCCGGAUUUACUGGGUGUAAAGGGAGCGUAGACGGUUUUGCAAGUCUGAAGUGAAAGCCCGGGGCUUAACCCCGGGACUGCUUUGGAAACUGUAGAACUAGAGUGCAGGAGAGGUAAGUGGAAUUCCUAGUGUAGCGGUGAAAUGCGUAGAUAUUAGGAGGAACACCAGUGGCGAAGGCGGCUUACUGGACUGUAACUGACGUUGAGGCUCGAAAGCGUGGGGAGCAAACAGGAUUAGAUACCCUGGUAGUCCACGCCGUAAACGAUGAUUACUAGGUGUUGGUGGGUACGACCCAUCGGUGCCGCAGCAAACGCAAUAAGUAAUCCACCUGGGGAGUACGUUCGCAA
rnacentral:rRNA from 1 species